GGUAGCGUGGCCGAGGGGUCUAAGGCGCUGGAUUUAGGCUCCAGUCUCUUCGGGGGCGUGGGUUCAAAUCCCACCGCUGCCA
rfam:Danio rerio chromosome 4, GRCz11 reference primary assembly.